GUAUAAGAUUUGAAAUAAACGAGCUGAUACAAAUGAAUUUGUUUUAAUAAGACACUCUGAGAAACACUUCCAACACGUACGAAGUAUAUCACAGAACUGACUUGAAAUGUAGGUACGUGUAAUUGUAAAACUAGAUAUAUUAAGCAUUGAAUAGGUAGAAUAAUUAGUAAAGAUACGCCCGAAGAAGCCAUUGUAUGGCGAAACACGUGUUGCGUUGUCGUAAAAUUUCUAAGUGAAAAUCUCACAAUAAAGUGUUAUUCAUCUAUAGUCAAUUUUAUAUCGAUAGUGAACAAAAUAAGCUCUACUGAUACUUUUGAUAAUUCAGAGGAAACCGGUUAAAUUUAUAGAAUGUCCUUCAAAAAUUAAGAAAAGGUGGUUUUUCAGAAAACCCUUGGAAGAAGUAACGGUUGCUGAUAAAAAUGAGCAUGCCGAAAUGGAAAUGAAAAUUUAGUUGAUGGGAAUUCGUUGUUUAACCAUGUGGCGUUUCCACCAGGAGGAAAAUUCAAAAAAUGAAAAUUUAUUGCUAGCCGCCAGUUGUUAUAUCCUUCUUUCCUCUUAUCCAAUUUUGGAAAAAUGAAACGCCAACGUUUUUGGAUGAGACCAAGCUCAAAAAAGCGAGGAAGUUAUUCCAUUAAUGAAUUGUUAGUUCAGUUACGUGAGGAUAAUAUUGGACUAAAUGACUCCUACAAAUGAAGCCGAACGAAAAAAGAUCAGUGCAGAUUUUGAGAAGAUUUGGAAUUUUCCUCACUGCCUUGGUGCUAUGGAUGGCAAGCAUGUAGUCUUCGAAGCCCCCAUACAUACCGUUAUCAAUGCAAACUAUAACUUCGUUUAUGCAAGUGUGGGCGCCCAGGGACGUAUUUCUGAUGGAGGAGUAUUUAAGAGCACAUCUUUUUAUAAAUUGAUGGAAGAGUCUUCGUUACAUCGCCCACAAAAUCGUAACCUACUUGGUAGGCAAUUACCUGUCCCAUAUGUCUUUGUAGCGGAUGAUGCAUUUCCCUUGACAACUGCUAUAAUGAAACCAUACAGUGGGCAUCAAGAAAAACACUAAAAAAAUCGAGUGUUCAAUUAUCGGUUAAGCAGAGCACGUAGGGUAGUUGAGAAUGUUUUUGGUAUACUCGCAUCUGUUUUUCGUGUACUGCGUAAACCAAUGUUAUUGCAGCCAGAGAAGGCCAAAAAAUUGUAUUAACAUGCGUAUUGCUUCAUAAUUACUUGAGAACAAAUGUAACAACCAUAAACAGUUACACUCCCCCAGGAAUAUUUGAUAAGGAAGAUUUGGAAACUGGAACAAUAGACCGAGGUUCUGGGAGACGAGAUACCCAACCUACCGCUUCAUUAUUACCCCUUAUGAACAUUCCACGAAAAGCAGCCAUGGAGGCAUGGGCCAUCAGAGACGAGUAUGCUGACUAUUUUAUGACAAACCUAGGCCAAGUACCAUGGCAGUUACAGUACUGUUAAGUUGUAUACUUAUAAACUUUUUAUUAUCAAUUUUAAUGUUUUUAUAAUGGUUUCAUGUAAUUGCAUGUUUGCAUGUGUGACAAAAGAAGGUACCUACUUACUUAACUAUUAAGAAAAAUUGAUAUUUUUUGACAUAUCUCGUAUUAGAGUGGAAAGUUUCAAAUUUAUGAACAACUUUUUUCCUUAAAAUUGAUAAUAAAAAUGUUUUCCAUAUGGCUACGACCGAGGCUACGAGUUUAGUUGACAUAAU